AAGUCGUAACAAGGUUUCCGUAGGUGAACCUGCGGAAGGAUCAUUAACACGUACCCACGUAUAAACAAUCUGUGAAUUUACCUCCCUGUGCUAAGUCUAGCUGAAAGAGUGGUUAGUGAUAGGCAUAUAUGCUUUUAAACUAUAUGUAACUGCAUCUCUAGGGUUUCGAACCCAAAGCUUUCUUAGCCAGGCCUUCAUUUCUAUCACUACAAACACACCAUUUUAACAAUCAACACAACUUGACUGAUGUACUUGUGUAAGAGAAAUCUGGCAUGAGUCUUUAUCUAAACUAAGCACAACUCUUAGCAAUGGAUAUCUUGGUUCUC
rnacentral:misc_RNA from 1 species